rnacentral:rRNA from 1 species
AUUGAACGCUGGCGGCAGGCCUAACACAUGCAAGUCGAACGAGUGGCGGACGGGUGAGUAAUGUCUGGGAAACUGCCUGAUGGAGGGGGAUCACUACUGGAAACGGUAGCUAAUACCGCCUACCAUCGGAUGUGCCCAGAUGGGAUUAGCUAGUGGGGGGGGUAAAGGCUCACCUAGGCGACGAUCCCUAGCUGGUCCGAGAGGAGGACCAGCAAACCUGGAACUGAGACACGGUCAAGACUCCUACGGGAGGCAGCAGGGGGGAAUAUGGCACAAUGGGGGCAAGCCUGAUGCAGCCAUGCCGCGGGUAGGAAGAAGGCCUUCGGGUUGUAAAGUACUUUCAGCGGGGAGGCGUUACCCGCAGAAGAAGCACCGGCUAACUCCGUGCCAGCAGCCGCGGUAAUUC